CCUACGGGUGGCAGCAGUGGGGAAUAUUGCACAAUGGGCGCAAGCCUGAUGCAGCCAUGCCGCGUGUAUGAAGAAGGCCUUCGGGUUGUAAAGUACUUUCAGCGGGGAGGAAGGCGAUAAGGUUAAUAACCUUUUCGAUUGACGUUACCCGCAGAAGAAGCACCGGCUAACUCCAUGCCAGCAGCCGCGGUAAUACGGAGGGUGCAAGCGUUAAUCGGAAUUACUGGGCGUAAAGCGCACGCAGGCGGUCUGUCAAGUCGGAUGUGAAAUCCCCGGGCUCAACCUGGGAACUGCAUUCGAAACUGGCAGGCUAGAGUCUUGUAGAGGGGGGUAGAAUUCCAGGUGUAGCGGUGAGAUGCGUAGAGAUCUGGAGGAAUACCGGUGGCGAAGGCGGACCCCUGGACAGAGACUGACGCUCAGGUGCGAAAGCCUGGGGAGCAAACAGGAUUAGAUACCCCCGUAGUC
rnacentral:rRNA from 1 species